GAUUCCCAGAAGCAAAUCAUCUAAUUUCCUUUCCUGUAUCAUUUGGCUGAGUUUGGAUCCCAAGCCCAUUUGUUUAAAAAACAACGGAUCCCAUCCAGGGUGCCACCUUACAGUUAGUUGUUGUAUGUUCCUCUUGGAUAUGAUGGUAUCUCAGAUUUUCUUAUUUUCCUGACAGUUUUGAGGAGUACUGGUCAGGUAUAUUGUAGGAUGCUUUUAGAAUGAAAUUUGUAUUAUGCUUUUCUUGUGAUUAGACUAGGCUGAUGGGUUUUUGGGAGAAAGACCAAAGACAUAAAAUGUCAUUAUCACUGAGGGCACACAUCAGUAUGAUUUAUGAAUACUGAUGUUGACCUUGAUCAUGUGGCUGAAUUAGUGUUUCUCAGAUUUCUCUAUAGGGUGGAAUAUCUACAUAAUUUAUUGGUAAUUCUUCUGCAUGAGAGAUUUGUCUCUUUUCCCCAUUUAUUAAUUUAUUUAACCAUCCAUUUAUGGUUUUUAUUUUUUGGGUUAUAAUCCAACACUACUUUAUUUUCUUGCUCAAAUUAUUUCAGCUUUGGCCACGAGGGACUCUUUUAGUUUGUUCCCGUGCCUCUUUAAAUGCCACUGGAAGUUUUAGUUAGGGGAGAGAGAUUCUUUGAUAUAUCUGCUGAAUAGAGAAUAGAUUGUAAACAAAAGCAAGAAUAAAUAUAGGGAGGAAUUUAACCUAGAGAAAACUGAAAAUGGCUUGAACUAAAGGGGUAGCAAUGGAGAUAGUGAAAGGUGGCUGGAUUUGGAAUAUGUUUCAGAGGUAGAAUCCACAGUGUCAGCUGAUGAAUGGCAUGUGGGGGUAGGGUAGAGAGCUGAAGGGAAUGAAGGAGACAAAUCAUGGAUAAAAGUAAAGGACCAAAGGCCCAAAGAAUCAAGAGUAAUAGGUGAGUGGUGGUGCUAUCAGGUGAGGUAGGAAAGUUGGCAGAGGAUAAGGUUUUGAGCUUGAAAGUAAAUUUCUGUGCUGGGCAUGUUAAAUUUGAAUGCCUAUUAAACAUGCUAGACACAUUAAGUGAACAGCUCCCAGGUUUGCAAGUUGAUAAGUAGGUUUGAACACGGGAAAGGUCAUGGUUGGAGGUGUAAAUUUGGGAAUGCUUAGCACCUAGAUUGUAUUCAGAGUCAUGAUAAUGGUAUUUAGAGUUCUGUAGCUACAUGAUAAUGCUUUUAGGGAGGGGAGAAAGACCCAGUAAAGAAGACUAUGAAAGAGAAACUGAUAGAAAAAACCAUGGAGUCGGAUGUCAUAGAAGCCAAGAAGUAUACUGACAGUAUCACCUUUGAAGAAUUGCAUUGUGACCCUUUCAAGACAAGAAUGAGAACUCUGCAGUUGACAACGUGGCCUGAGGGAAGAAAACGAGAAGGACAAUUACCAGGAUGCGGGAGUAGCACAUGUGCCACGCCACAUCAUUCCAGACACUACAUUCCCCCUUCCCAAUACCUCAUUUCCACCCUGUAUGCAUACAAAUAUUUCUUUCAAAGAUGAUAAAGAAGAAGGUAGCUAUUUUCGAAAGCUGAUAGAAUGGGAUG